CCUACGGGGGGCAGCAGUAGGGAAUCUUCCACAAUGGGCGAAAGCCUGAUGGAGCAACGCCGCGUGGGUGAAGAAGGUCUUCGGAUCGUAAAACCCUGUUGUUAGAGAAGAAAGUGCGGGAGAGUAACUGUUCACGUGUCGACGGUAUCUAACCAGAAAGCCACGGCUAACGACGUGCAAGCAGCCGCGGUAAUACGUAGGUGGCAAGCGUUAUCCGGAUUUAGUGGGCGUAAAGGGAACGAAGGCGGUCUUUUAAGUCUGAGGUGAAAGCCUUCGGCUUAACCGGAGUAGUGCAUUGGAAACUGGGAGACUUGCGUGCAGCAGAGGUGAGUGGAACUCCCUGUGUAGCUGUGACCUGCUUAGCUAUCUGGC
rnacentral:rRNA from 1 species